rnacentral:rRNA from 1 species
UACGUAGGGGGCAAGCGUUGUCCGGAAUCAUUGGGCGUAAAGCGCGUGUAGGCGGCCUUGUAAGUCCGUUCUGAAAGUCCGGGGCUCAACCCCGGGAGGCGGAUGGAUACUGCAAGGCUCGAGUCCGGAAGAGGCAAGUGGAAUUCCCGGUGUAGCGGUGAAAUGCGCAGAUAUCGGGAGGAACACCAGUGGCGAAGGCGGUCCCCUGGGCCGGAACUGACGCUGAGGCGCGAAAGCGUGGGUAGCAAACGGG